AUCCAGCUGACUAGUCUCAAAUAGGACGAAAUGCGCAUCCUGGAU
rnacentral:hammerhead_ribozyme from 1 species